UACGUAGGGUGCAAGCGUUGUCCGGAAUUAUUGGGCGUAAAGAGCUCGUAGGCGGUUUGUCGCGUCUGCCGUGAAAGUCCGGGGCUCAACUCCGGAUCUGCGGUGGGUACGGGCAGACUAGAGUGAUGUAGGGGAGACUGGAAUUCUUGGUGUAGCGGUGAAAUGCGUAGAUAUCAAGAGGAACACCUGAGGUGAAGACGGGUUGCUGGGCUGACACUGACGCUGGAGGCGCGAAAGCCAGGGGAGCAAACGGG
rnacentral:rRNA from 1 species